rnacentral:rRNA from 1 species
UACGGGGGGAGCAAGCGUUGUUCGGAUUUACUGGGCGUAAAGGGCGCGUAGGCGGCCAGCGCAAGUCAGUUGUGAAAUCUCCGGGCUUAACUCGGAAAGGUCAACUGAUACUGCGCGGCUAGAGUGCAGAAGGGGCAACUGGAAUUCUCGGUGUAGCGGUGAAAUGCGUAGAUAUCGAGAGGAACACCUGCGGCGAAGGCGGGUUGCUGGGCUGACACUGACGCUGAUGCGCGAAAGCCAGGGGAGCGAAUGGG